UUUCCGUAGGUGAACCUGCGGAAGGAUCAUUCAUAAUAAGUGUUUUAUGGCACUUUUUCAAAUCCAUAUCCACCUUGUGUGCAAUGUCAGGGUUGAUUUUUCUCUCGAGAGGAUCAACCCCAAACAUCAACUAUAUCUCAACUCUUUGUCUGAAAAAUAUUAUGAAUAAAACAAUUCAAAAUACAACUUUCAACAACGGAUCUCUUGGCUCUC
rnacentral:misc_RNA from 1 species